GAUGAACGCUGGCGGCGUGCCUAAUACAUGCAAGUCGAGCGAACGGACGAGAAGCUUGCUUCUCUGAUGUUAGCGGCGGACGGGUGAGUAACACGUGGAUAACCUACCUAUAAGACUGGGAUAACUUCGGGAAACCGGAGCUAAUACCGGAUAAUAUUUUGAACCGCAUGGUUCAAAAGUGAAAGACGGUCUUGCUGUCACUUAUAGAUGGAUCCGCGCUGCAUUAGCUAGUUGGUAAGGUAACGGCUUACCAAGGCAACGAUGCAUAGCCGACCGGAGAGGGUGAUCGGCCACACUGGAACUGAGACACGGUCCAGACUCCUACGGGAGGCAGCAGUAGGGAAUCUUACGCAAUGGGCGAAAGCCUGACGGAGCAACGCCGCGUGAGUGAUGAAGGUCUUCGGAUCGUAAAACUCUGUUAUUAGGGAAGAACAUAUGUGUAAGUAACUGUGCACAUCUUGACGGUACCUAAUCAGAAAGCCACGGCUAACUACGUG
rnacentral:rRNA from 1 species